rnacentral:lncRNA from 1 species
UAUUCAUCAAUAAUAGUGGUGAGUCGUCAUACUUCUAAAACGAUUUGAUAUGUUUUACAUUCAGUCAUCCAUUUUAGUUUUAGUUUUGCUAGAGCUAGCUGGGGACAUGUCCCAGCAUCUCUAGUAAGUUAUAAGUUUUUAUUCAGGCUUGAUUUUUGUCAUUCCCCGAGGCUACCCCCUUGACGUAACAUGAGACCUAGGAUCACGAGUGACCGUCAGCUAAUCCUAAGCUAGAACAUCAUAAGCAUAUUAGAUAAGAAUAUAAGAUCAACAAUUUAUAAAACCUUUAAAAGCCUAAACCUAAGAAACCCUUUAACCUAAGAAACCCUAAAUCCUAUGAAACAAUAAAUCCUGAACUCUAAGAAACACUAAUUCCUAAGAAACACUUAACACUAAGAAACUCUAAAUUGUAAGAAAACCUAAAUCCUAAAAAAGCCACUAAACCUAAAAAAAGUCAUU